AGUGGCAUCACCUCAGAGUACAUAACCUCACUGAACGAAAAGGAUCAUUCACUCACAAUACGCUAGUCGUAUUUCGUUAUUUCGUUACCAAACUGAUACUUUUCAAGAAGAGGUUAAGUUUACAGCGUAAAUUAAAACUAUGCAUGAAAAGUAUUACAAUUAUUUAACUAUUUUAAAU